GAGUAAUGUCUGGGAAACUGCCUGAUGGAGGGGGAUAACUACUGGAAACGGUAGCUAAUACCGCAUAACGUCGCAAGACCAAAGAGGGGGACCUUCGGGCCUCUUGCCAUCGGAUGUGCCCAGAUGGGAUUAGCUAGUAGGUGGGGUAACGGCUCACCUAGGCGACGAUCCCUAGCUGGUCUGAGAGGAUGACCAGCCACACUGGAACUGAGACACGGUCCAGACUCCUACGGGAGGCAGCAGUGGGGAAUAUUGCACAAUGGGCGCAAGCCUGAUGCAGCCAUGCCGCGUGUAUGAAGAAGGCCUUCGGGUUGUAAAGUACUUUCAGCGGGGAGGAAGGGAGUAAAGUUAAUACCUUUGCUCAUUGACGUUACCCGCAGAAGAAGCACCGGCUAACUCCGUGCCAGCAGCCGCGGUAAUACGGAGGGUGCAAGCGUUAAUCGGAAUUACUGGGCGUAAAGCGCACGCAGGCGGUUUGUUAAGUCAGAUGUGAAAUCCCCGGGCUCAACCUGGGAACUGCAUCUGAUACUGGCAAGCUUGAGUCUCGUAGAGGGGGGUAGAAUUCCAGGUGUAGCGGUGAAAUGCGUAGAGAUCUGGAGGA
rnacentral:rRNA from 1 species